rnacentral:rRNA from 1 species
GACGAACGCCGGCGGCGUGCCUAAUACAUGCAAGUAGAACGCUGAAGAGAGGAGCUUGCUCUUCUUGGAUGAGUUGCGAACGGGUGAGUAACGCGUAGGUAACCUGCCUUGUAGCGGGGGAUAACUAUUGGAAACGAUAGCUAAUACCGCAUAACAAUGGAUGACACAUGUCAUUUAUUUGAAAGGGGCAAUUGCUCCACUACAAGAUGGACCUGCGUUGUAUUAGCUAGUAGGUGAGGUAACGGCUCACCUAGGCGACGAUACAUAGCCGACCUGAGAGGGUGAUCGGCCACACUGGGACUGAGACACGGCCCAGACUCCUACGGGAGGCAGCAGUAGGGAAUCUUCGGCAAUGGGGGCAACCCUGACCGAGCAACGCCGCGUGAGUGAAGAAGGUUUUCGGAUCGUAAAGCUCUGUUGUAAGUCAAGAACGAGUGUGAGAGUAGAAAGUUCACACUGUGACGGUAGCUUACCAGAAAGGG